GCCAAUUAGCUUGCUAAGAGGUGGACAGCGGCGAAAGGGAGAGUAACGCGUGGUUACGUGCCCCGAGGUCCAGGAUAGCGUUGGGAAACCGGCGGCAAUACUGGAUGAUAUCUUCGGAUCAAAGGUGUGAUUCCGCCUUGGGAUCGGACCGCGUACUAUUAGCUUGUUGGUGGGGUAAUGGCCUACCAAGGCUGUGAUGGUUACCGGGUGUGAGAGCAUGGCCCGGCUCACUGGGACUGAGACACUGCCCAGACACCUACGGGUGGCUGCAGUCGAGAAUCUUCGGCAAUGGACGAAAGUCUGACCGAGCGACGCCGCGUGCGGGAUGAAGGCCCUCGGGUUGUAAACCGCUGUCAGUUGGAAGGAAGGGCCUGUGCAGAGCAGGUCUUGACCGAUCUUCAGAGGAAGGACGGGCUAAGUUCGUGCCAGCAGCCGCGGUAAGACGAACCGUCCAAACGUUACUCGGUAUCACUGGGCUUAAAGCGUGCGUAGGCGGCCUGGAAGGUGAGAUGUGAAAGCCCACGGCUCAACCGUGGAAUUGCGUUUCAAACCGCCAGGCUUGAGGAAGACAGGGGUGUUGGGAACUUAUGGUGGAGCGGUGAAAUGCGUUGAUAUCAUAGGGAACACCGGUGGCGAAGGCGCAACACUGGGUCUUUUCUGACGCUGAGGCACGAAAGCUAGGGUAGCGAACGGGAUUAGAUACCCCGGUAGUCCUAGCCGUAAACGAUGAGCACUGGGUUGAGGGGACUUCCACAUCCUCUCGGCCGUAGCGAAAGCGUUAAGUGCUCCGCCUGGGGAGUAUGGUCGCAAGGCUGAUACUCAAAGGAAUUGACGGGGGCUCACACAAGCGGUGGAGGAUGUGGCUUAAUUCGAGGAUACGCGAAGAAGCCUUAUCCUAGAUUUGACAUGCUUGAGAGUCUCUAUGAAAGUAGAGAGUGCCCUUCGGGGAGCUCUUGCAC
rnacentral:rRNA from 1 species